rnacentral:rRNA from 1 species
AACGAACGCUGGCGGCAUGCCUAACACAUGCCAGUCGAACGAUUGCCUUCGGGUGAUAGUGGCGCACGGGUGCGUAACGCGUGGGAAUCUGCCCUUAGGUUCGGAAUAACAGCUGGAAACGGCUGCUAAUACCGGAUGAUAUCGCGAGAUCAAAGAUUUACCGCCUGGGGAUGGGCCCGCGUUGGAUUAGGUGGUUGGUGGGGUAAAGGCCUACCAAGCGGACGAUCCAUAGCUGGUCUGAGAGGAUGAUCAGCCACACUGGGACUGAGACACGGCCCAGACUCCUACGGGAGGCAGCAGUGGGGAAUAUUGGACGAUGGGCGCAAGCCUGAUCCAGCAAUGCCGCGUGAGUGAUGAAGGCCCUAGGGUUGUAAAGCUCUUUUACCCGGGAAGAUAAUGACGGUACCGGGAGAAUAAGCCCCGGCUAACUCCGUG